rnacentral:rRNA from 1 species
GUGGGGAAUUUUGGACAAUGGGGGCAACCCUGAUCCAGCAAUGCCGCGUGCAGGAAGAAGGCCUUCGGGUUGUAAACUGCUUUUGUACGGAACGAAACGGUCCUGGUUAAUACCUGGGGCUAAUGACGGUACCGUAAGAAUAAGCACCGGCUAACUACGUGCCAGCAGCCGCGGUAAUACGUAGGGUGCAAGCGUUAAUCGGAAUUACUGGGCGUAAAGCGUGCGCAGGCGGUUUUGUAAGACAGGCGUGAAAUCCCCGGGCUCAACCUGGGAAUGGCGCUUGUGACUGCAAGGCUGGAGUGCGGCAGAGGGGGAUGGAAUUCCGCGUGUAGCAGUGAAAUGCGUAGAUAUGCGGAGGAACACCGAUGGCGAAGGCAAUCCCCUGGGCCUGCACUGACGCUCAUGCACGAAAGCGUGGGGAGCAAACAGGAUUAGAAACCUAGUAGUCC